GACAUACUCCCUCCGUCCCAAAAUUCUUGUCUUAGAUUUGUCUAGAUACGGAUGUAUCUAGUUACAUUUUAGUGUUAGAUACAUCCGUAUCUAGACAAAUCUAAGACAAGAAUUUUGGGACGGAGGGAGUAUUUU
rfam:Triticum aestivum genome assembly, contig: Triticum_aestivum_CS42_TGACv1_scaffold_556327_7AL